rnacentral:lncRNA from 10 species
GCAACAGAGCAAGACUCCAUCCAAAAAAAAAAAAAGUGUGACCUGAGCUGAGUAUUGGAGGACAAAUAAAUGAUGUUCUGGGAAGAGGAAUGUGAAUGUAUAUAUAAAAUAUGAACUAAAGGAGAUCUCCAGCCACCAAAAAACCUGUGAGGAACUGAAUUCCUACCAAAGAACUGAAAGCCUUGGCUUAACAGCCUAUGAGGAGCUGCAUUCUGCCAACAACCAUGUAAGCAAACUUGGAAGUGAAUCUUCCUGCAGAUGCGAUCGCAGCCCUGGGCAAGACUUUUGUUUGCAUCUUUGCGAGAGAUCCUGAAACAGAGAACCCAGCUAAGCCACACCCAGAUUCUGAC